GAUGAACGCUGGCGGCGUGCCUAAUACAUGCAAGUCGAGCGAACGGACGAGAAGCUUGCUUCUCUGAUGUUAGCGGCGGACGGGUGAGUAACACGUGGAUAACCUACCUAUAAGACUGGGAUAACUUCGGGAAACCGGAGCUAAUACCGGAUAAUAUUUUGAACCGCAUGGUUCAAAAGUGAAAGACGGCCUUGCUGUCACUUAUAGAUGGAUCCGCGCUGCAUUAGCUAGUUGGUAAGGUAACGGCUUACCAAGGCAACGAUGCAUAGCCGACCUGAGAGGGUGAUCGGCCACACUGGAACUGAGACACGGUCCAGACUCCUACGGGAGGCAGCAGUAGGGAAUCUUCCGCAAUGGGCGAAAGCCUGACGGAGCAACGCCGCGUGAGUGAUGAAGGUCUUCGGAUCGUAAAACUCUGUUAUUAGGGAAGAACAUAUGUGUAAGUAACUGUGCACAUCUUGACGGUACCUAAUCAGAAAGCCACGGCUAACUACGUGCCAGCAGCCGCGGUAAUACGUAGGUGGCAAGCGUUAUCCGGAAUUAUUGGGCGUAAGCGCGCGUAGGCGGUUUUUUAAGUCUGAUGUGAAAGCCCACGGCUCAACCGUGGAGGGUCAUUGGAAACUGGAAAACUUGAGUGCAGAAGAGGAAAGUGGAAUUCCAUGUGUAGCGGUGAAAUGCGCAGAGAUAUGGAGGAACACCAGUGGCGAAGGCGACUUUCUGGUCUGUAACUGACGCUGAUGUGCGAAAGCGUGGGGAUCAAACAGGAUUAGAUACCCUGGUAGUCCACGCCGUAAACGAUGAGUGCUAAGUGUUAGGGGGUUUCCGCCCCUUAGUGCUGCAGCUAACGCAUUAAGCACUCCGCCUGGGGAGUACGACCGCAAGGUUGAAACUCAAAGGAAUUGACGGGGACCCGCACAAGCGGUGGAGCAUGUGGUUUAAUUCGAAGCAACGCGAAGAACCUUACCAAAUCUUGACAUCCUUUGACAACUCUAGAGAUAGAGCUUUCCCCUUCGGGGGACAAAGUGACAGGUGGUGCAUGGUUGUCGUCAGCUCGUGUCGUGAGAUGUUGGGUUAAGUCCCGCAACGAGCGCAACCCUUAAGCUUAGUUGCCAUCAUUAAGUUGGGCACUCUAAGUUGACUGCCGGUGACAAACCGGAGGAAGGUGGGGAUGACGUCAAAUCAUCAUGCCCCUUAUGAUUUGGGCUACACACGUGCUACAAUGGACAAUACAAAGGGCAGCGAAACCGCGAGGUCAAGCAAAUCCCAUAAAGUUGUUCUCAGUUCGGAUUGUAGUCUGCAACUCGACUACAUGAAGCUGGAAUCGCUAGUAAUCGUAGAUCAGCAUGCUACGGUGAAUACGUUCCCGGGUCU
rnacentral:rRNA from 1 species